GACGAACGCUGGCGGCGUGCCUAAUACAUGCAAGUUGAGCGAUGAAGCUUGGUGCUUGCACCCAUUUGAAGAGCAGCGAACGGGUGAGUAACGCGUGGGGAAUCUGCCUUUGAGCGGGGGACAACAUUUGGAAACGAAUGCUAAUACCGCAUAACAACUUUAAACAUAAGUUUUAAGUUUGAAAGAUGCAAUUGCAUCACUCAAAGAUGAUCCCGCGUUGUAUUAGCUAGUUGGUGAGGUAAAGGCUCACCAAGGCGAUGAUACAUAGCCGACCUGAGAGGGUGAUCGGCCACAUUGGGACUGAGACACGGCCCAAACUCCUACGGGAGGCAGCAGUAGGGAAUCUUCGGCAAUGGACGAAAGUCUGACCGAGCAACGCCGCGUGAGUGAAGAAGGUUUUCGGAUCGUAAAACUCUGUUGGUAGAGAAGAACGUUGGUGAGAGUGGAAAGCUCAUCAAGUGACGGUAACUACCCAGAAAGGGACGGCUAACUACGUG
rnacentral:rRNA from 1 species